CCCCUCUCAGGAUCACAAUUGGAGAGUUUCCAGUACUCUACCAGUCUCGACUAUGGGAGGGAGCAUCAAGCGGAGGCGUACCCAUUCCAUUCCUAGCUUGGGCAGUGGCUAGCAAAUGGAAGACAAUCUGCUACAAAU